rnacentral:rRNA from 1 species
GGGUAAUGAGACCGGCGCACGGGCGCUUAACGCGUAUGCAAUCUACCUUUUACAGGGGAAUAGCCCAGAGAAAUUUGGAUUAAUGCCCCAUAGUAUGUAUGAAUCGCAUGGUUUAUACAUUAAAGUUCCAACGGUAAAAGAUGAGCAUGCGUCCCAUUAGUUAGUUGGUAAGGUAACGGCUUACCAAGACGAUGAUGGGUAGGGGUCCUGAGAGGGAGAUCCCCCACACUGGUACUGAGACACGGACCAGACUCCUACGGGAGGCAGCAGUGAGGAAUAUUGGACAAUGGGCGCAAGCCUGAUCCAGCCAUGCCGCGUGCAGGAAGAAGCAUCUAUGGUGUGUAAACUGCUUUUGUACAGGAAGAAACACUCCCUCGUGAGGGAGCUUGACGGUACUGUAAGAAUAAGGAUCGGCUAACUCCGUGCCAGCAGCCGCGGUAAUACGGAGGAUCCAAGCGUUAUCCGGAAUCAUUGGGUUUAAAGGGUCCGUAGGCGGUUUGAUAAGUCAGUGGUGAAAGCCCAUCGCUCAACGAUGGAACGGCCAUUGAUACUGUCAGACUUGAAUUACUAGGAAGUAACUAGAAUAUGUAGUGUAGCGGUGAAAUGCUUAGAUAUUACAUGGAAUACCAAUUGCGAAGGCAGGUUACUACUAGUGGAUUGACGCUGAUGGACGAAAGCGUGGGGAGCGAACAGGAUUAGAUACCCUGGUAGUCCACGCCGUAAACGAUGGAUACUAGCUGUUGGGCGCAAGUUCAGUGGCUAAGCGAAAGUGAUAAGUAUCCCACCUGGGGAGUACGUUCGCAAGAAUGAAACUCAAAGGAAUUGACGGGGGCCCGCACAAGCGGUGGAGCAUGUGGUUUAAUUCGAUGAUACGCGAGGAACCUUACCAAGGCUUAAAUGUAGAUUGACAGGACUGGAAACAGUUUUUUCUUCGGACAUUUACAAGGUGCUGCAUGGUUGUCGUCAGCUCGUGCCGUGA